AUUGAACGCUGGCGGAAUGCUUUACACAUGCAAGUCGAACGGCAGCACGGACUUCGGUCUGGUGGCGAGUGGCGAACGGGUGAGUAAUGUAUCGGAACGUGCCCAGUCGUGGGGGAUAAUGUAGUGAAAAUUACGCUAAUACCGCAUACGAUCUAUGGAUGAAAGCGGGGGAUCGCAAGACCUCGCGCGAUUGGAGCGGCCGAUAACAGAUUAGGUAGUUGGUGGGGCAAAGGCCCACCAAGCCAACGAUCUGUAGCUGGUCUGAGAGGACGACCAGCCACACUGGAACUGAGACACGGUCCAGACUCCUACGGGAGGCAGCAGUGGGGAAUUUUGGACAAUGGGCGAAAGCCUGAUCCAGCCAUUCCGCGUGCAGGAUGAAGGCCCUCGGGUUGUAAACUGCUUUUGUACAGAACGAAAAGGUUUCUACUAAUACUAGGAGCUCAUGACGGUACUGUAAGAAUAAGCACCGGCUAACUACGUGCCAGCAGCCGCCGCGG
rnacentral:rRNA from 1 species